GGUUAUUCCGUUACGAACGAGACCUUAACCUGCUAACUAGUCUGCCUGUGAACAACAGGUUGUACUUCUUAGAGGGACUAUUGUGCAAGAAGCCAAUGGAAGUUUAAGGCAAUAACAGGUCUGUGAUGCCCCUAGACGUGCUCGGCCGCACGCGCGUUACAAUGACUGGCGCAGAAAGUAUUUCCUGUCCUGGGAAGGUACGGGUAAUCUUAUUAAUACCAGUCGUGUUAGGGAUAGUUCUUUGGAAUUUUGGAUCUUGAACGAGGAAUUUCUAGUAAGUGCAAGUCAUCAGCUUGCGUUGAUUAUGUCCCUGCCGUUUGUACACACCGCCCGUCGCUUGUAGUAACGAAUGGUCUGGUGAACCUUCUGGACUGCGACAGCAAUGUUGCGGAAAAAUAAGUAAACCCUACCAUUUGGAACAACAAGAAGUCGUAACAAGGUAUCUGUAGGUGAACCUGCAGAUGGAUCAUUA
rnacentral:rRNA from 1 species